rnacentral:rRNA from 1 species
UACGAAGGGGGCUAGCGUUGCUCGGAAUCACUGGGCGUAAAGCGCACGUAGGCGGGGCUUUAAGUCGGAGGUGAAAUCCUGGAGCUCAACUCCAGAACUGCCUUCGAUACUGAGGAUCUCGAGUCCGGGAGAGGUGAGUGGAACUGCGAGUGUAGAGGUGAAAUUCGUAGAUAUUCGCAAGAACACCAGUGGCGAAGGCGGCUCACUGGCCCGGUACUGACGCUGAGGUGCGAAAGCGUGGGGAGCAAACAGG